rnacentral:lncRNA from 1 species
GUUUUUUUUUCUUUAGUAAUCAGAAAAAACUGAGUAUUUGAAUAAAUAUCAAACUGCUAUGCUUUUUCCAAUUGAAUUUCUUCGUUAUUUUGAAUUGAACUUAUUUGUUUUAUUCUUUAGUAACCAGAAAAAUCCGAGUUUUCAAAUAUAAUAUCAAACUACUACUUUUUUUUGAACUUCUUGUCCCAUUUUUUAAUAAUGAGGAAAUCUGAAUUUUGUAUAACCAUCGACCUCAUCCUCUUUUUUAUUUUGGACUUCUUAGUUUUAUUUCUUUUAGUGAUGGAAAAAAUCCUAGUUUUUAAAUAAACAUCGAGCCACUCUGUUUUUUUAAUUUGAAAUUCAAGGUUUUUUGUGGAAAUGAAAAAAAUCUAUUUUUGAUUAAUAGUGAACUUGUGUAUUUUUAAAUUUUGGACUUUCUUGGUAUUUCAAUUUGAACUUCUUAGUUUUUAGUUUUUUAGAAACAAUUUUUUUAAUAAACUUCGAAUCACGUCGUCGUUUCAAUUUGAACUUCUUGUUUGAUUUUUUUAAUUGAGGGGUGGGGUUGGUUAUUUUGUUUUUGUAAAGUUGUGUUGUUUUUUUUGUAAACUUUUCAAUUGUUUAUUUUUGUUAAAGUCGUUUUUGCUUUUUUAUAUAUUAACUUCCAAGAGUUGAUUUUGUUGCUUUUUCCAAAAAAAAUCGCAUCAAGGAUAUAUAAGAAUAGUUUUUUGCAUGCACAUAUGAUCGUUCUGUAGAUAAUAUACAUGAAGGAUGCGAUGUGUGAAAUUUUACCAAAAUUGAACGAGCAUAUGAAGUCGUUGGUGUACGCCCCAAGCCCUCUAUGGAACAAUGCAAAAUUUUGCAAUGUUUUUUUUUGCUAGGGAAGCAAGCAAUAGUCGUAGUAUUGAAGUAUAAGCUUCUCCCAUAUUAGUGUUUGUUCCAAAAUGAACAUUUUGAACAACGCACAACACGCAUUAUGAACUUCUCCUCAACCAUCUUUUUGUUCAUUUUUUAUUUUUGUUUUUACAGUACACAAACGGUGUCCCAACUCAUAUAUUUUUUCAAGUGACAAAUUGUUAUUUUUGGAAAGAACCACAUUGAGCUAUGAAUAUGUCUGAUCGAAAAUUCAGGUUUGGGAAGCAAGUUGUGUGUGUUGGGCAACAAGGGAUACAUAAUUCUGAACCGAAAGUGUUUGUUUUGCUUCAGGCAAUAUUUCUUUCAGAUUUAGUAUAAAGAUUCAGUAAGGAUUCAUGGAAUUAGCAAUAUUAAAGCAAGAAUACCCAACAUCGCUUGUGUAGAUUCAGCCAACGAAAACCAUACAUGUGGGACUUGAACUACCGUAGAUGAAUGACAAUAGUAGAACAUAUUUAAAUUCUUGGCAUGGAAGGUCAACUUUGUUCUGCUCUCCAGAGCGUGACGCUAGCCAACACACGUCCAGCAAGCCCAUAAGCACACAUGUCUAGUAUCCAGCAACAGCAAGGAAUGCAAACCACCGCGAAGAAAAGUGCAUAGCUGUAGUAGGACUUUGGCGUAUAGUUGUUGUAGAACUUCAUGCAACGUCUAUGAACAUCCGAAUGGUUGUAAAGGGGAAAAUGAGAAAUUUUCCUGUAAAUUAGACACACACAUGCACACCCCUGCAGUUUUAUCAAGAUUGUUAAAUCCAGUUAGCACAUUUUCACAUGAGCAACACAUCCACAUGUAGGAGCACGUCUGAUGUACCUGAGAACUCAUAUAUAUGCACCUACAGGAAGAGCAUCAAGUCUCAUAUACGGUUAAACAUUUUUUCUAUAUUCUUUGGUGCACCUGAACCUUUGCAACAUUUUUACAUAAACUUCUUGUUUUAUGGGAGAGAGAGCACUUAGCCGGAGAGGGUUCACCGUUUCUAAUGCCAGAAGAGGUCAUCGGUAGGGGAGGCAGUGUAGAAAAAAUCUUUGUGGUGUCCCGCAGCCGGUGUAGAGCCGAGUAGCACGCAGCCGGUGUCCUGCGAAGGAUCUACACGAGCGAGCAGGCGAGGAGGCACUGCACGCGGAGACGAGGUUGGACUACACGACGGUCGGUAUUGGACGGUGCAUGGGCCGCCUCGGCGCUCGAAGCUGCACUAGACAAAGCCCAGGAGGACGAGCGUCAUGCAGGACUGGUGCAACAACGUGGAUUGGGGCCGACAGGACGCUGGUGGCUGGCGGUGGAGACCAGGAGGCCGGACAAGAUGGCGUUGAGCCACUGGCGGCGUUAGUGCGGAGAAGACAUAGUGUUGCGAAGCAGAGGCCACUGUAGGGAGUGUGGACAGGGGAUUGGGAGAGUGGGGCUCACCGGCCCUAGGCGGAUCCGCGCGCGUCGAUGGUCGUGGUUACCGGAUCCUCGCCGGCGCCACACGAAGGUAGCGGUGGUUACCGGAUCCUCGGUGGCGGCUUGCGGGGCAGGCGGUGGUGGCUGGAUCCGAGGUGGUGGCGAGUUGGAUAGCUGGCGACGGCGUCUCUUGUUGGGGACAGGGCGGCGACGACGGAAGCGGUCGGUGGCGGGGCGGCGGCGGCGACGGUCGGUGGCGGGGUGGUGUUGGCGACGGGCGGUGGCGGGGCCACGAGGGCGUCUCCGGUUAGGGGCGGGAUGGUGGCGCCUCGCCAGUUGGGGGUGGGUGCCUGGGUGGUGCAGGGGAUCGGGGAUCGGGGAUGGGGUGGUAGUUUUAGAAUCGGCCUUUUCUUUUUGUUUCAGCGAUUUUCGGAGGAACCCUGCCGGGCCUUUAUAGGAAGUUGUGAUUCAAAUAACUAUUCUAAUCAUAGGAUUAGAAUAGUGCUAUUAUAUAUAUAUAUAUAUAUAUAUAUAUAUAUAUAUAUAUAUAUAUAACUAUGCAUACUGUUCCGAAGUUCAAUGUUCAGUUUACAAGCAGUGCACCAAAUGUUUAUGCAUCAGUUAUAGGAAAAAAGAUUAAAAAACCUAUGCAUAACAGAUGCAUCAGUGCUGAACAUGUCCAUUCACCAGUUCGACUGAAACUAUAUCAGAUACAAAAUAGACAACAAAGUUUAAUAACGCCUAGCGAUGCAAGUUCAACUUGUACAUUACCUUCAGUGCAUGACAUGUUACCCAUAUCAUGUAUAUGAGAAAAUGCAGAAAAGAUUAAUCCCAAAACUAUUGAAUGUCAUUCCAGAAACAUGCAAGGUGGCACACGUAGGGAGGGUUUGAUGAGCCAAGAAGAUAUGAGGCACCGUCUGGCUGGGUAACACCAGAAAUAGCACCUGGAUACUUCAACAAUACAUGCAGAUUUCAAGCUACACCAGAAUCAUGAGAAGCACGGACUGGUUCUUCUAUGCAGCAGACACCGAUAUCUAGGAAUACAAGCUUUGCCACUGCUGGGGUGCAACAAGGUCAACAAUGUCCCCAACAACAAAUAUUUUCCUUUCCUAGCGCAAGCAGAAAGGCAAGGACACUCAGGCUUCCACCCGUCACUCCAUCAACAUCAAUCAUCUGUGCUACAAAAGCGGUUGCGACGGGAAGACGAGGCCAAAGAGACAGGAAUGUUUGCCACUCUAGCAGGGUGCAAAGUAGAAGAUAUGAGCCAUAUAGAUAGGAGCAACCUGCUAGUGAAUCUCAGGGAAGACGACCGUACAAUGAGAGACGGAGAGCUUCAUCAACAUUGCUGCAUGUGCCGAGGGUGACACCACCCGCGCCCAUACACCAGGGUGAACAGCAAACACCGGAUGUAGCGCGGAGCUAUGCACAUGUAAGUAUCCAUUCAGAAAAAACAUACAACCACAGUCCAUACCCUAGUACUGUGACCACCCCAUCUAACAUUUUCAUCACUGUGUUUUUGUUUGCUCACUGUUGUGUGCAGCCACCUAACAUUGAAGCUUACGUUCUGCCAAGGCUAGAGAUGCCCUUUGAAACUUUCAAAGAAGCAAAGAACUUCUACAACGUCUAUGCAAAGCACGCGGGUUUUGCUGUCAGAGAAGACUCCAAGGUUAACACCAAGUCUACCUUUAUUGCACGUGCUAUGGAGUCUAUGAAUUGAAGGUGUCAGAAGCAAAUAGAUAGCGGAACAAGACCACAGCCAGGACUAAUUGCGGGGCUAAAAUGAGGCUGAAGAGGGAAAAUGAUGGAACACUUGUCGUAAAAGAGAUAAUCUGGGAACACAACCACAGGCUACAUCUCUCCCCCAAAUGCUUGUCUUCUUGCACUCCCACAAAAACUUUGACAAAACAAUCUUGGAGUACAUCAAGUACCCGUGGUUCAAAGGCACUGAACACGCGUAAAUCAUGAGCAUACUGCGCGGUGAUGACCCCGGUAGCUACUUCCCCGAAAUGAAUGCCAAAGACCUGAUUAACAUGUAAGUACAAACUUGUUCUCCUCCCAUAAACCCCCUCCAUCUUUUUUCCUCUGUCAGUACAAACAUAUUACGCAACACAUGACCUAAUGCCAGUUCAACAUGCAUUUUUGAAUGACUGUUCACUUUUAAUAUGCAAGAAAGCAAAGAAUUCAAGGAUGGAUGAUGUGGACGAUGUCCUAAACACUGUCAACUUAUUUAGGGAGAUGAAAGCGAUAAACAAGGAAUUCUUCUGCGACAUACAACUUGAUGAGUCCGACAGAGUGAAGAACAUAUUCUGGGCGAACGCAGGCUGCCGAGGGGCAUAUCAAGACUUUGGUGACUGCGUAACGUUUGAAACCACAUAUAAGACCAACAAGUACCAUAUGCCACUUGGGGUGUUUGUGGGUACUAACAACCACUUACAGACUAUAUUCUUUGCUUUCGCCCUGAUAAUAGAUGAGGAUGCAGAUUCAUUCACAUGGUUGUUCAAAAGCAUUUUGAAGGUGCAUGAGAGGGAAGGCUCCUUCAUGCAUCCUCACAGGUACAAACGCCACCCCCAAAGGAAAAUAACAUAGUAAAAUUAUUGUGUCGGUUCUAUUUGUAUAUAUGCACUACCAUCCGCUGACCACUCCACGUCUCUUUUCUCAUUACCAGACCAGUGCCCGGCAAUGGCUUUGGCGAUCCCAGAUGCUUUCGGGGACACAGUACAUAAGCUAUGCCGCUGGCACAUUAUGAAGAAGUACAGGGAACACCUCGCAUACCUAUACAACCUCCACGAAGAGUUUAACGAUGAAUUCACAGCAAUCCUCAACUAGCCCCUCAUGCCAACUGAGUUUGAGGCUGCCUGGAAAGCACUCAUAGAUAAGUACAACCUCCAUGAUGAUGCCACAACGGUGGCAAUGUGGAACGAGCACGAGAAAUAGAUAUCAUCUUACUUCAAAGAAAUUUUCUGUGCCAAAAUGACGUCCACACAAAGGAGUGAGAGCAUGAACUAUGUGCUCAAGAAGAACUUCAUAAGUGAGAGACAAAACCUGCACCGGUUCGUCAGCCAAGUAAACUCCUGCGUCAAAACCAGGAGGCAGACAGAGAACUAGGAGACAAUAGGUAACCGGGUAUAGCUCUAUCACCUGUCGUAAGACAAAAUAACGUGCUUACUAAAGUAAAUCUUUCUUAGUUAGACAAGUUUUUGCUGUGAGAAAAUUAAUAAUUUGUUCAUGACUCUUGCUUGCACAGAAGGAACAAAACACGCUGACCUUCUAUGGGUUUGACAAUCAGAUGGCAAAGCUUUACUCAUGAGCUGUGUACAGCGAGAUCAGAAAAAGGCUAAAACUAAGCACCCUCUUCACGGUGACAGAGACGGAAGAGCCCAGAAAGUACCUUGUGCACUACAACAAACCACAAAAACUGUUUGCGUGGUCUCAGCACGCGUUCCAGGUGGUUGCAGACCCCAUGGGAGAAAUAUUUGACUGCAAGUGCAAGCUGUGGGACCACAAAGGCGAGGUCUAAAAAAGAUGUUACAUACUGUAGUACUUAUUUUUGCAAAGUUUUUGUUCGAAUGAAAUGACAGAAAACAUGCACCUCUUUCAAAAAAUAGGUAUUUUCUGCCUGCAUGUCCUAUGCAUGAUGCAUAUAAUUAAGGCUGACCGUGUUCCAGAGAAAUACAUCCUCAGGAGAUACACCAAACACCCGAACAUCCAGCCAACAUUCAACAGAAAUGACUUGAGGACAGUAGCGUCAAACAAGGCCUCCCAAUACGGCAUUGAAAGCGCACCGCUGUAGCUGAACAUGUGGGUGCACAGAAAAAGCUUGAGAAGCCAUGAGAAAAUGGCGAGGUCACAUGUCAUCAUGGAAAGACUUGACCAAGAACUCGACGCCAUGCAUUCUGCUGAAAAUGACAAUGUCGCGGACAACGAAGCCAUUGAGCAGGAUAUUGCUACAAUCUUAUCUGAGAUGAACCAUCUGGGAGCUAUUGACCCAUACGACAACGAGGAAGAGGAGCAACAGCAACCAGAGCUUGCCCAUGUGCACACUCAAGAGCAACAACAUGCUCACGUGCAAGAUCAUGAGCUUGACGGUGCUGUAGGCGAACGACAUGAAAACAGGACAUCCUACCAGCAGCAGCAGGAAAGGGUAAUUAAACCACCCAUAUUCUCAAACACAAGGGGGGGGAUAAUAAGACGCAAGCAGCGAAAGCAGCAAAAGCAGCAGCCAAAAAGCCGCCACGCCCCAUCAGACGCGUGGAAUUCGGCCCGGAUGGCAAACCUCUCGGGAUAAGGGCAUGCGGAUUCGGCAACAUGGUGACCAAUCAUAAUUACCACACAUGCCCAUAGCACACAUAUGCCACUAUCAACAAGCAAAAGCUGUAGAAGUAGAUUGGAGCCGCCCAGGUUUCUACCAAUGGAGACGACUCACGUAACAGCUACACUUGCAACAAGUGUGGGGGGACCGACGGACAUAAUGCCCGCACAUGCAAAGUGGGCAAGGAGGUCAGUGGCGCUGAACAGAAAUAGGGCAAGGUCCAAAGUUCCAAGAAAUCAAAAGAAGAGGAUGAGGAAGAAGAGUUUGACAAGAAUGGCGACCAAUCAGAUGAAGACAAUGAAGAUGACAGUAUUGGGGACGAGGAAAAUGAAACUGACGAUGAAGCUGCCAAGGCUCAAGCAGGAAAGGACGCCAACAAGGGACAACAUUCGGGGCCAGUUAGAAGGAGCUCAAGAUUGAAGAAUCCAUAGUGGUUAUGCUGCUGCAUCAACUCAAAAAUAAGCUUGUACUCUUGGUUGCCUCGGUACACAAUGAGGAAUCAUAUCAGAAACACUGUCGUUACCAAAACUUAUUUAGCUUUAUCAUCGAUUUCUCGAUCAGUACUAUAGUUAAGAUAUAAUUUGUGAUUUGUGCCCGCUGGACCAGUGACAUUAUUACAUAAACCAUUUGAUAAACCUUUUGAAUGCAGUCACAAAUAUAUUUGAAAAAAUUGAUCUGGAUUUAUGUAACGUCAACACUACUAUCGACCAGUAACUCAGCAAAAAUUUGUUAAAGAAAAUUUAAACUCUUAUUGUAGAUCAGUAUUUGAAAACAAUCAGUACAAUUUGAGUUGCUUAACAACGCUUCAAAAGUUGAAGCAAAAAAUCUUAGUACUUCAUGUACUGUUCUCAUCCAUAUGUAGCUGCUAGAAAAUUAACAAGUACUACAACUGAAAAAGUUAAGAAGCAUCAGCACACACUUAUAUUGGUCACUUGCAGACUAAGAAUGAUAGUACUAGUACACUUGAACGGAUAGUACAUAUUUACUACAAUAAAAAGUACAAAGAAGCAUUAGUUCGCAAUCCCUCAAAGAAAUAAAUGUCAGACUAAGCACAUAAGUGCUACUAUGAAUGAACUCUCAGUACAACUUAGUUUACAUGCAAGUACUAUAGUGCUAAAAAUGAUACCAGAAGACCCUUGAGAAUAAUCACAAAAACAAACACAAAAAGAAGGCAAAAACUCAAUGGAAAGAUAACACUUCCACAAAACUCACAAGAACUACAACAAAAAGUAUCAGUCCACAUUACUGGUGGAGUCAAGUAUUAGAUUCAAACCCAAAAAAAAUUAAAAAUUGACAGCCCGAAGACAGGCAAGCCCUGACACAGCUAGAUACUUGAACUCGAGCCCACGACGGAACCGUUGGCGAAUCCCUAGUAAUCGGCACAACACAGGGCCAACCAACCAGGGCACACGGGUCAUGAGAGGGAGCGAGCGUCGUGUAUAAGUGCUCAGGUAAGUAUCCAGAGGAGUUCGACCAGUAAGACUCGACAGCGCUUAUAAACAGGUCGAGAGCCCCCUCGCUUAGCGAGGUGGGACUAAACCCAGAGCACACGCACAUCCAACAGUCCUCAAAUCGCCCGCGCGGGCCAUUUGGGCCAAAAAGGGCCCAAUAGCCUCCAUCUUCUCCAAACACCCCACCCAUAAGGCCAAUUGAAUAAAGCAGAGCGCGAGGCAAAGAAAUAUAAACUACAAAAAAAAUGUUCGAAAACUGGAAAUAAAAAAGUUCAAAUACUUGUUCGCAGGAAAUAACUUUAAAUACAAAAAUAAAAAUAAUUUUAGCUCUGCACCAUAGAUGAUAAAAAUGGAAAAAAUAUGAUAUAAAAACAACAAAACUUUGAAAAGUGGAGAACUUAAUAGGCUAUAUGUUAAAUGUACAUAAUUUAAACCAGCGAAUUAAAUAUUACUUUCAAGUUCAACUACUAAAAUGCAAGAAGUUCAAAUAGAUAUUGUUUGUCAAUUAUGCUAAAUUUCUUAUUUAUAUAAAAUCUGACUAGAGCUCAACUAACGAUUUCGUCGUAAAUAAUCUACAUCCCAAAAAAACUCAGUUCAAACAUACAUACGACAUCAGUACUACAAAACCAGGAAGGGUCAGGCCACUCACCUUACAUCCACACACCAUUGUGACACCAAUUUUCAAAACCUUACGCUAUAUGAAAUUACAAUUCAGUACCCACAGCACUAAACCAUAAGUACACUAAAAAGAGAGUACAAAAACUAUAAAGGCCUAACUUAGGUUGGGACAGAUGAAAAUAAAAUAAGUCCUAGUUUUGAGGAAUAGCUCACAGUGCAGUAAAAAAAGUUUUGAUAUCAACUAGUGUAUAAGACUACAGUGCAAAAAUAAGACUUAUCCUCCACACUAAAAACAUAACAAAGUAUAUGUCACUUAAACAAUACAAAAUGCCAUCAUCACUGACCCUGAGACAUGCAAGUGGGAUAAACACCUGAUAAGUAUAGCUUAACAAGACGGAUCAGUGCGACAGUAAAAAACCCUUGGCUUGGACGGUUGGUUCUUCCAGGCCACCACCCGCGCCACCCACUGGGCGGUUGCCACGACGGACUACAAUGGUGACCCCACGACCAGUACCCCCAUGACCGGGAAGAACCGCCUCCCCCACGUCCCAAACCACGCCCUCCAAAAGCCCCAAAUCGACUCCAUCCCUGCCACAUCUCUAAAAACCACCAUUGCCGCUUCGAUCUCCACUACAAACAACCCACAAACAUCUCUGUUCCGAGCCCACAGUCGCCAGGAGGGCAAUGGCAGAGGAACCAUCUGCCAAGCGUCAUCGUGGCGAGACGUCCGACCAGAGCAGCAACCUCGACGAUGUUCAUGUCCCCGACAAGAAGCGCGAGUACACCCGAACCCACACAGGGGUUGAGCUCCACGGCAAGGAGACACUGGAGAUUGUCUGCACCAGUGAACCAGACAAGGCUGACGAGAUGAUGAGCAGGCUCAGGAUGAAGCGCGACGGCUUGUAUCCUAGCUUCAUCGGAGUUGAUGUGGAGUUUACCAAAAAAGAUGAACCUCCCCAGAUGGCAGCAGUCCUGCAGUUAUGCGUGGAGGAACUCUGCUUGGUGUACCACAUUGCAGCAGCCACAAAAUGGUGAUCCAUACUACUCUUCAUUCAUAUGUUUUAUUAGUACUACUCCCUAAAAAUUUCAUUAAACUUGUUUCCCAACUAGAUGAACUACUGUAGUUUGUGAACUGGAUGCACGAGUACAUGUUUCUCAAGUAGAUGCGCUAUAAUAUAAUUUGAAACUGAUGCACUGGAUUAGCAUCUGAAAUUGUUUCACCAGAUUAAUUUCUGAACUUGAUGUACUAGCAUAGUUUCUAAUCUUGAUGCACUAGUGUAGUUUAUAUAGUUGAUCUAUUAAAAGAUGUUUCUAAACUUGAUGUACAGAAGUAUUUUCUGAACCUGGUCUGAUGUUAUUUUCAGCAGCAAAAAGUAAAGUAAGAAUUUGGUCAAGCACUGGUAUAGGUCUUUUAUUCAACAAAAAGAAAACUAAAAUUGAAGUAAGCAGCACAUAGAUCAUUUACUCUGGUUAUAGGUUCUUGAAAUUGGUGAAGCAUUUGGUGAAGCACUGAAGAUACCAAAAAAGAAAAAUAACAUGAUGUACUUGAAUUUAAUUUCAAAACUUUGUGUACUAGUUUCUGAACUACAUUCAUCCAUGACUUAUACUAUAUAAGCAUCUACCUCAUGGAUUAUCACUUGUAAACCAAAAAACAGAAGGAUUAAAUCUUCAAAAAAGAACACUAAUCUUCAAUAUGUGUCUCCCCCUUGCAGGCCCAAGUGCCUCAAAGAAUUCCUGCAGGAGCAGAAAUUGUACACAUUUGCCGAUUUCAGCAUUGAAGGUGACAAAAGAGAAGUUGAAGAUGUCUGGUUUGGAGAUCAACCCCAAGAACUUCACCGACAUUCAGCGCAACUGGAGAGUUCUACGCAUCGGAAAAGAGUACGACUCCUUGGCUGAUGUUGCAGCCAGUGUCAUCCACCCAUUCUACAAAAGCAUGAAGAAGAAGAUAGAUAAGGAGGAAGACCACAAACUGUGGGGGAUCAGCCCGCUCCCAUACAAGCUCAUCGAGUACACAGGAAUAGAUGUGUACGCCACAUACAAGUCAUGGAAGAUAAUUGACAACAUCAUAACAGGUUGGGAAAUUUCAAAAGAGGAGGAGGCUGACCCAUACUACCACUGCCACUACGCGAUAUGAAGAGACAUCAAAGUCUGCCUUCGUGUUGCUUGCGCUUAUGCUUGUCCUUUAACUUGUUGUUUCAAAUUUGUAGUUUGCUUUUGUUAGGUUGAGCCAGCUUUCUUAUGCCAUGUGUGUCAGGGUUGAACAAGUUUGCUUAUGUAAUCAAGUACAUCGUUCGCUUGUGUCAUUGAACAAGUUUGAUAGCUUUCUAUUUUGUUUAUCCAUCAUUUGAAGUUGAAGUAAGUUGUGAAUGAAACUUUGUGGCUGCUAUGCAACACUAGUCAUGGAGCAACAAAUCACAGAUGGAUAUUUUCACAAAAUAGUGGCAGACUAAAAACAAUAACAAAUAGUAGCCUUGGACGCUCAGUACAACUUUGUCCUAUAUUGUAGUACUAUCACACUAAAAAUUAGUUUUUAGUUUCAGAAGAACACUAAAAAUACUAAGUUGCAGCCGAGGACAACAUUCAGUACUAAUAGCAUCAUGCUUAUAGUCAUUAGAAAAUUACUAAGUACUACAACAGGAAAAACCAAGAACCAUCAGUACGUAUUUCAUAGUCACUAGCAUACUAGGUGUGAAAGUACUGGUACACUUGAACACAUAGUACAUCCAUUCUACAAAAAUAAAAAGGAACGGGAAGUGUCAGUUCGCAUUCCCUAAAACAGUGACACACUAAGAAUAAUAGUGCUAGUACAAUUGAAAUCUCAGUACAACCUAGUUUAUACGACAAGUACUAUGAUGAUACCAAAUAAUGCCUUGAGAAUAACCACAGCCUAGAAAAAAGAAGGCCAAAACUAAAUCAAAAAGAUGUCAGUUCGACCAAGGAGAAAAAACACAAGAACCACAACAGAAGCACCAGUCCAAAUUGACCAAUGAGGUACUAGUUUCAAACAAUACAAAACAAAAUGAUCAUGGUGCUAGUACAAUUGAAAUCUCAGUACAACUUAGUUUAUAUGGUAAGUGCUAUGAUGAUACCAAAUAAUGCCUUGAAAAAGAAGGCCAAGACUCAAUCAAAAAGAUUACAGUUCAAUCAAGGACAAAAAAUCACAAGAACAAACAACAGAAGCAUCAGUCCACAUUAACCAGUGAGGUACUAGUUUCAAACAACCAAAAAAAUGAUGACCACCCAUGGACAGGCCAACCAUGCACAGGAGGAUACACUUGGACUCAAGCCCAUGACGGAACCAUUGGCGAAUCCAUAGUAAUCGAGACUAUGCGGGCCAGCCGUCAAGGGCCAACAGGUCAUGGAAUAGAGAGCGAGCGCCGUGUAUAAGCGCCCAGGUUAGUAUAUAGAGGAGUUCAACAGGCAAGGAACAACAAUGCUUAUAAACCGGUCGAGAGCCCCCUCGGCUAGCGAGGUGGGACUAAACUUAGAGCACUUGCAUAGCCAGCAGUCCACAGUCAUGUGCACGGGCUAUUUGGGCAAAAAAAGGGCCCAAUACGACUACUACUCCCUCCUCUCCAAACUCUCCUCGCCCCACCCCAUAAGGCCCGCUGAAUAAACCAGAGCGCGUGCCAAAGAAAAUAUAAACUAGUACAAAAAAGUUCGAAAACUUAAUAUAGAAACGCUCAAAUACAUGUUUGCACGCAAAAUAAUUCUAAAUUCAAAUACAAAAAUAAAAUAAAUUUACCUCUUCAGCACAGAUAAAAGGAUUAAAAAUAUGCUACAAAAACAAAUAUACUUUGAAGUUCAACUAUAUAUGCUACAAAAAUAAUUAUGAACUUAAUAGGGCUAUCUGUUAAAUGUAGCUAAUUUAACCAGUGCUUUAACUUUUACUAUGAAGUUGAACUACUAGAAUGCAAGAAGUUCAAACAAAUAUUUGGCUCUCAAUUUUGCUAAAUUUCUUAUACAAGGAAGCAUCACUCCACUCAUGCUAGAUCCACAAAUACUAUUGUGACACCAAAUUUUAAAAGCCUUAUGUUGUAUGAAAUUACAAUUUGGUACUCACAGAACUAUACCAUAAGUACAAGAAAAGAGGGUACAUAAACUAUAAAGGUCCAACUUAGGUUGGGACCGAUGAAAAUAAAAUAAAUGUCACCUUUUCAGCAACAACUCGUAAUGCACUUGGAAAAAAGUGUUUUAGUUCAACUAGUAUAUAAGACUUCAGUGCAAAAAUAAAACUUAACCAAAACAAAUUCCCGAUAAAACAUACACAAGUGAAACAGCUGUUCAACCACAUUCUCAUCAUGGAAAAAAGUUUGUAAAACGUUGUGCCACACUUAAAAACAUCACAAAGUAUACCGGUUAUUACAUAGUUGACAAGACACCCAAACACUACAUACAAAGCCUACAAUGCUUUCAAGACAUAAAUCACACAAGUAUCCCAUUCACUAUGCAAAUGAUAACCAUUUGUUCUAUGCACCAGGAGCCAAAGCUUGAACCUCCUCGGGAAGCUUGUAGCACCCCAGCUUAGAGCAACCAGUUUACCUUGCAUUGCCAGCCUAGAGAUCAAGUCUUCUGGCAACACACAACAACUUGGUACAAAAAACAACCACUUUAUUGAUGCUAGCAGAAACAUAGGUUCAAUAUUACAUCAAGUAGCGAGGCCAAGCAGCACACACGGUGCGGCUGAACAAUAUGUACAUUAUUUAAUGAACAUGAAGGGGCCUCGAUCACGAUAACUACGCGACAGCGGAACGACGACGAAGCGGAACUCCAUAGCACAGGGACACCGAUGUGGACACGAUCUAGACACGGGAAGCACUUCGAUCCGGUAAGACUUUCCUGAAAUCUGGCAUGACACGCCAGGUCAGUACAUUGAAUGUACUUGCAAGCUCACAACAAGCAUAAGCAUAAUGGCAAACAAUAUCAUGACAAUUAAUCAAUUUAAAUGGAAUGCAAUAACAUACUACUAAUGUAGUGAAUAAAACUUGUGCACCGAGUCCCUCGGACUCUCUUACCAAACGGGUUACCUCGUAACCAAGAUCAUCAUACGGUGAUCACUCCCGGAUCACAGACGAACCAACACUUUGGUUCCGACGAUAACGACCAUCUUCAUGGUCUCACAAAUCCCGUCACAUAAUCAGUGCCAAGCAUAUAAGUUUAGUGUGCAAGAUUACUUAAUCAUGUUGAUCCAUGGUGUGAUCUACUUACGAGCUGUGUCCGUAACUGAGGAUGCGGCUAUCGAUAGAUUUAAUAAACACUCUGCGGAGGUAGUAGACUGGACCCACACUACGGAACCCAUGGCCGUGUCUCGUCUCUCUUCCGCAUGAGGCGUGCGAGCCGCGAGGUACCCCUCGAUGCUGGAAAGCCUCGUGGACCGCGGAGGAACGGAUGGGAUAUUCGGGGCUGACCCAGUUGAAACCCAGUGUGCCAAACGGCACUCUUGGGCUUUUAGGGGCUUUAAGCCUGACGGGGAAAUCCACUAAAAAACCCUGUGAUCGCAGUGUGCCAAACAAGGCCUCAUGCCUUGUUAGGCAGGAAGGGUUUUCAAGCCCCAAUGGGGCUGGGGAUUAUUGGGGAUUUGGUGAACCCCUCCCCGCACCAAAUCCCCUCAAAUCCACUUCCGCCUCCCAAGCCCCUUCCCCAUCUAUCCAUAUAUGAGUGUUUGGCAUGUAGGGACAAAUUUGGUCCAUUUUAAACAUGAACUUCAACAACACACUGGUAAAAAUCCGAUCUUUACUAUUGAACAGGCUGAAGCAUCAGUGGCCAUAUCAUCAAGUACUACUAAAAGCAACAAAUCAUAAUCUUUAAGAUCAAUGGCAUCUAAACUAAGAACAUCAAAGGCCAUACAACACGAUCAGAUCAUAGUUUAAACAUCAUAUGUCAAACACAGGCAUGCAUCAGCAUGUACCAACGACACCUAGGGUGCAACACAAACAUCACUUAAAUUCGGUUUCUGCUUCCCAGCAUAGUUUCAGUUUCGCAACGACAGGCAUGCAUCACUUCAGUUCCAUCGCAUCCCUGAAAGUAGCAACUCAAUCAAAACAUUAGACAUACCAGUCAAACAAUUCACAGCUACAAGAGUACUUCAAAUACUUUCUGAAGAAAGAAAAGUAACAGGGGGGAAAUAUGGCAUGGAGCCCGUUUCUUAUACUUCAUGAUCUAAAACAGAUGGACUCACUCUCCUUUGUCAAAAAGUAUAACAAAAUUUAUAUGUGAUGUACUUGAGCCAGAUUUAACUUGAUGCAAACAGAGAAAAGCAAGCUCUAGCAUCAGGUCACAUAGAUAUCUCACAUCGAGUACUAGCACUGGAAACUCACAACUAAAAAUUUAUACGUACAUACCAUAUAUACACUACAGAAGGUUGACAGAAACUCUUUGCAUAUACACUGCGGAUCAUAUAUAUGUACAGAUCAUAUCUAUGUACAUCUCAAAACUAAAAAUUUAUAUGUACAGAUCAUAUAUACAACUACAAAUUUUGAUUUAGUAUGAUUGUUCAGUACCAAAGUGUAUCUAUUUCUCUAACAAAAACACUACAAUUACUUUCUUGCUGAUUGCCCAACAUUAUGGUUUAGUUUCUUCCUACUAUUUGCCCUUUAUUCAAAUUAGUAUGCAUACAAAGCAUUCAUUCACAAGAAAAACAUGUUUGUUCCAAGCUAAUCAGGAAUAGGAGCUUAUGUAUAUUCUCAGUUCGGAGAUGAGAAAUUGAUUUCUAGCUAAUCAGGAAUAUGAGCUUAAGAACAAGACCAAGCAAGCAAGAACAUUAUGAACCAGAUCAAAAUACCUCUUCUAGGUAGGCAACUCAUCCAUUUCGCUCCGAAGCCACAUGACCGCACUCUCUUCUUGAAGUUUGAUGAACAUGUAAGAUAACAAAGAGCUCGCUAUUACAUUAUAACAAAGAGCAUCAUAAAUGUUUGUUCUAAGCUAAUCAGGAAUAAGAGCUUAAUUAUAUUCUCAGUUCAGACAUGUGCAUGCAUAUGCUCAGUUAGCAACCACAUAAAUAUACUACAACUAGUCAUCUCAGAUGAGAAAUUGAUUUCUAGCUCUUGUCUGCAUGUAUUUUACUCAUCUUAGCAAAUCACACCAGUAACAGUUAACUUCGACCAGUUUUGAAUUUCAUCAACAUCUAACACAGGACAAUGUAGAUAUAUUUUUAGCACAUAGUGCCAAAAUUAAUCAGAUUGAUGUUAUACCAAUGAAACUUAUGUGCAGCAAAAUGAUUCUCUACUCACAUUUCUGCACUACAUCCAAUUGUCAAUAUCUAAUACAAAAUGGUUGGCUGUAUUUUGUUAC